rnacentral:rRNA from 1 species
CUACGGGACGCUCCAGUGAGGAAUUUUGCGCAAUGGGGGAAACCCUGACGCAGCAACGCCGCGUGAGUGAUGAAGGCCUUCGGGUCGUAAAACUCUGUCAAGUGGGAAGAACCUAUGUAAGGUUAAUACCCUUAUGUACUGACGGUACCACUGAGGGAAGCACCGGCUAACUCCGUGCCAGCAGCCGCGGUAAUACGGAGGGUGCAAGCGUUAUUCGGAAUUAUUGGGCGUAAAGGGCGCGCAGGCGGUUUUGUAAGUCAGAUGUGAAAGCCCGGGGCUUAACCUCGGAAGUGCAUUUGAUACUGCAAGACUUGAGUAUGGGAGGGGGAAGUGGAAUUCCUGGUGUAGAGGUGAAAUUCGUAGAUAUCAGGAGGAACACCAGUGGCGAAGGCGACUUCCUGGACCAAUACUGACGCUGAGGCGCGAAGGCGUGGGGAGCAAACAGGAUUAGAUACCCGAGUAGUC